rnacentral:lncRNA from 1 species
GGGAGACAGAGCAUAGUGCGAUCUCAGCACCACAGCCAGGCGAAGGACAGAUACUGCAAAUUAAAAUAUUCCUAAUGUGGAGUGGAAGACAAUGCCUGCAUUUAUGGUUAACUAUAAGUGCUACACUAGGAAGAUGAUGGUAUUCAGAUACACACAAAUAAUUUGAUUCAGACAGAUUGGAUACAAGAUUUCAACCAGCAUAAGGAGAACAGAUGAAAACGAGAAGUGAUAACUGGCAGUGCGUAAAAUACUGGGAAAAGAAAUCACUGACCAAGCCAUGGAGACCAAAAUCAGUACUAAUUCUAUUAAUUGAAAGAUCAUUCAUUCAGUACGAAGGCCUGAUCCUGUGAAGAUUUAAAUAGGUGAGUAACUCAGGUGCUUAGGUAUUUUCAG